UGGGGAAUAUUGCACAAUGGGCGAAAGCCUGAUGCAGCGACGCCGCGUGAGUGAAGAAGUAUUUCGGUAUGUAAAGCUCUAUCAGCAGGGAAGAAAAUGACGGUACCUGACUAAGAAGCCCCGGCUAACUACGUGCCAGCAGCCGCGGUAAUACGUAGGGGGCAAGCGUUAUCCGGAUUUACUGGGUGUAAAGGGAGCGUAGACGGCGAAGCAAGUCUGAAGUGAAAACCCAGGGCUCAACCCUGGGACUGCUUUGGAAACUGUUUUGGUAGAGUGUCGGAGAGGUAAGUGGAAUUCCUAGUGUAGCGGUGAAAUGCGUAGAUAUUAGGAGGAACACCAGUGGCGAAGGCGGCUUACUGGACGAUAACUGACGUUGAGGCUCGAAAGCGUGGGGAGCAAACAGG
rnacentral:rRNA from 1 species